ensembl:lncRNA ELOVL2-AS1 ELOVL2 antisense RNA 1
ACCCACCCGCUGCCCAGAUCGGCAGCCGCUGCUGCGGGGAGAAGCAGUAUCGUGCAGGGCGGGCACGCUGGUCUUGCUUACAGUUGGGCUUCGAUUUUAUAGGUUCAGAAAGUGUGUCUCAGAGGAGUUAGAGAAGACCGAUUAAUAGAUGACAGUGCUAAAGCCUGGAUCUCCUGAAUCCUGGUUCUGGGAUACAUGUGCAGAAUGUGCAGGUUUGUUAAUAGGCAUACGUGUGCCAUGGUGGUUUGCUGCCCCUUCAACCCGUCAUCUAGAUUUUAAGCCCCGCAUGCAUUAGUUUGGGGGAAGUUCUAUGAAAUCUAAGUUGAUGAACAUUAUUCCCCCUGCUGAUACCAAAAGUCCUGACUUGUAAGGAGGACAAAGCUGAGAUGAAAGUGUCCUAAGUUAGAUUCCUGGGAAGAAAAUUCUGAGACACAUUCUGCAGGAUGAUUAUUAGGGCUCAUCCUUGGUUUCAACACCCAUAGAAGGAAGGGGGAAGAAGAAAUCGAACAGAGAGACAGAAGUCGAGAUGCAUUUCAGGCCAGGACUCUUGGCUGAACCCACAGGAGCUCUGGAGCUAGAAUGGCCCUUCAGAGUUGUCCUGAGUUGGUCUGAGAUGGCCAGUUCUUUAUAUUCCUGCAUGGGAUAGUCACUGGAUGUCCACCCCAGGAAGGGGUGUGGCCAAGACAGUCCCUAAAAUGCCCGCCAGCACUCCCUACACCUGGAGCGACAAGACCAACAUCACAGGGGGAAUGCACUGGGUGAUGGAUCACAGCGUUCAUCCCAGAAGAUGAGGAUACAGAAUUGGCUGACAACUACGUUCUAAAUGUCAGUGUUCUCCAAAAUUCAUAUGUUGAAACUUAAUUCCCAAUGUGAUGGCAUUAGGAAGUGGGGCCUUUGGGGGAGGGACUAUAGGUCAUGAGGGUGUAACCCUCAUCAAUGGGAUUAGUGUCCAGAGAGCUGCCUUGCCCUUCCACCAUGUGAGGACAUAGUGAGAAGGUGCCAUCUAUGAACUAGGAAGUGGGCGCUUACCACCAGACACCCACUCUUCUGGCAACUUGAUCUUGAAUUUCCCAGCCUCCAGAACUCUGAGAAAUCAAUUUCUGUUAAUUAUAAGCUACCCAGUCGAUAGCAUUUUGUUAAAGCUGCUGGAACUAAACUAAGACACUGACGCUUUCUGCGACAAAAAGAUAGAGUGAGUCUCUAUAGCAUACCAUGUAACAGAUGUUUUUGGAAAAAUAACCUCAUUUCAUAUGUUUCCUCAAGAUAAAAAGAAUGUCAUAACAACAAAUGAGAAAAUAGUUGCUUUAGAAAUAUUGCACCCUAUGGAGAGAGUAUUUUGGAUUUUGGUUUUUUGUUUUGUUUUUUAACUUUUGUUUUAGGUUUGGGGGUACAUAUGCAGGUUUGUUAUAUAGGUAAACUCAUGUCACAGGGGUUUGUUGUACAGAUAAUUUCCUCACCCAGGUACUAAGCCUAGUACCCAAUAGUUGCUUUUUCUCCUCCUCUCUCUCCUCCCACCCUCCACCCUCAAAUAGGCCCCAGUGUAUGUUGUUCUCUUCAUUAUGUUCAUGAAGUUGAGAGAGUGUUUUGAAAAAGAAUGUUGGAAAGCAUUUCCACUGUUAGAUGAUUUUAAGUCAAAAAGUUAUACAACAGUGUGACCUAUUUGCACACAAGCAUGGACACAGAAUUGUGUCAUAUGUUUAAAACUUUUCUAGAUCCUUUUGUGGUUCAUAAGCUUGAUGAUUGAGUUUUCGCGUCCACAUGUGAGAUGUGCCUCCCUUGAGCCUUGUCAUUGGCACAUUACCUGCCUGAUGUGAACAAUAAAAAUAAAAAAUAAAAAUUUGCUAAGC